rnacentral:rRNA from 1 species
CCCUCCUUUCUGAAGAACUGUAAUGUCAUUAAUUUGGUGUUGCAGGGAAACAGGACUGUUACUUUGAAAAAAUUAGAGUGUUUAAAGCAGGCUAACGCUUGAAUACAUUAGCAUGGAAUAAUGAAAUAGGACGUUCAAACCUAUUUUGUUGGUUUCUAGGAUUGACGUAAUGAUUAAUAGGGAUAGUUGGGGGCAUUAGUAUUCAAUUGUCAGAGGUGAAAUUCUUGGAUUUAUUGAAGACUAACUACUGCGAAAGCAUUUGCCAAGGAUGUUUUCAUUAAUCAAGAACGAAAGUUAGGGGAUCGAAGACGAUCAGAUACCGUCGUAGUCUUAACCAUAAACUAUGCCGACUAGGGAUCGGAUGAUGUUAAUUUUUUAAUGACUCAUUCGGCGCCUUACG